GUGGGGAAUUUUGGACAAUGGGCGCAAGCCUGAUCCAGCAAUGCCGCGUGCAGGAAGAAGGCCUUCGGGUUGUAAACUGCUUUUGUACGGAACGAAACGGUCCUGGUUAAUACCCGGGGCUAAUGACGGUACCGUAAGAAUAAGCACCGGCUAACUACGUGCCAGCAGCCGCGGUAAUACGUAGGGUGCAAGCGUUAAUCGGAAUUACUGGGCGUAAAGCGUGCGCAGGCGGUGCUGUAAGACAGGCGUGAAAUCCCCGGGCUUAACCUGGGAAUUGCGCUUGUGACUGCAGUGCUGGAGUGCGGCAGAGGGGGAUGGGAGUCCGCGUGUAGCAGUGAAAUGCGUAGAUAUGCGGAGGAACACCGAUGGCGAAGGCAAUCCCCUGGGCCUGCACUGACGCUCAUGCACGAAAGCGUGGGGAGCAAACAGGAUUAGAAACCCGAGUAGUCC
rnacentral:rRNA from 1 species